rnacentral:piRNA from 1 species
UACUACUGACCUUUCUGAAGAGCCAUC